UACGUAGGGAGCAAGCGUUGUCCGGAAUCAUUGGGCGUAAAGCGCGCGUAGGCGGCGCGGUAUGUCGUGCGUGAAAUCUCCCGGCUUAACUGGGAGGGGCCGUGCGAAACUGCCGGGCUUGAGGUCAGAAGGGGAAAGUGGAAUUCCGGGUGUAGUGGUGGAAUACGUAGAUAUCCGGAGGAACACCAGCGGCGAAGGCGGCUUUCUGGUCUGAUACUGACGCUGAGGCGCGAAAGCGUGGGGAGCGAUCCGG
rnacentral:rRNA from 1 species